rnacentral:misc_RNA from 1 species
AAGAAUUUAAUAAUUUUGAAAAUGGAUUUUUUUUGUUUUGGCAAGAGCAUGAGAGCUUUUACUGGGCAAGAAGACAAGAGAUGGAGAGUCCAGCCGGGCCUGCGCUUAAGUGCGCGGUCUUGCUAGGCUUGUAAGUUUCUUUCUUGCUAUUCCAAACGGUGAGAGAUUUCUGUGCUUUUGUUAUAGGACAAUUAAAACCGUUUCAAUACAACACACUGUGGAGUUUUCAUUAUCUUUGCAACUUUUUCUUUGGGCAUUCGAGCAAUCGGGGCCCAGAGGUAACAAACACAAACAAUUUUAUUUAUUCAUUAAAUUUUUGUCAAAAACAAGAAUUUUCGUAACUGGAAAUUUUAAAAUAUUAAAAACUUUCAACAACGGAUCUCUUGGUUCUCGCAUCGAUGAAGAACGCAGCGAAAUGCGAUACGUAAUGUGAAUUGCAGAAUUCCGUGAAUCAUCGAAUCUUUGAACGCACAUUGCGCCCCUUGGUAUUCCAGGGGGCAUGCCUGUUUGAGCGUCAUUUCCUUCUCAAACAUUCUGUUUGGUAGUGAGUGAUACUCUUUGGAGUUAACUUGAAAUUGCUGGCCUUUUCAUUGGAUGUUUUUUUUUUCCAAAGAGAGGUUUCUCUGCGUGCUUGAGGUAUAAUGCAAGUACGGUCGUUUUAGGUUUUACCAACUGCGGCUAAUCUUUUUUAUACUGAGCGUAUUGGAACGUUAUCGAUAAGAAGAGAGCGUCUAGGCGAACAAUGUUCUUAAAGU